rnacentral:rRNA from 1 species
GUUGGUGAGGUAACGGCUCACCAAGGCGACGAUGCGUAGCCGGCCUGAGAGGGUGACCGGCCACACUGGGACUGAGACACGGCCCAGACUCCUACGGGAGGCAGCAGUAGGGAAUCUUCCGCAAUGGGCGAAAGCCUGACGGAGCGACGCCGCGUGAGCGAAGAAGGCCUUCGGGUCGUAAAGCUCUGUUGUGAGGGACGAAGGAGCGUCGUUCGAAGAGGGCGGCGCAGUGACGGUACCUCACGAGAAAGCCCCGGCUAACUACGUGCCAGCAGCCGCGGUAAUACGUAGGGGGCGAGCGUUGUCCGGAAUUAUUGGGCGUAAAGCGCGCGCAGGCGGUCUCUUAAGUCUGAUGUGAAAGCCCACGGCUCAACCGUGGAGGGUCAUUGGAAACUGGGGGACUUGAGGGCAGGAGAGGAGAGCGGAAUUCCACGUGU